AUUGCAUAAGUGCUAGUGAGUAUAAACUCAUUUUGUACUCUUAAGAAUUACUUCAUGCUAUAGAAAUUUAUCCUUGAACCAAGGUCCUCCCUUGUUAUGGGGUGAGUGCACACUGAUAUAGGAUGUACAUACUU
rnacentral:snoRNA from 1 species